rnacentral:tRNA from 1 species
AUUUUAUUAGUAUACCAAGUACAUCUAAUUUCCAAUUAGAAAGUUUUCUUAAAUAAAAUA